AGCAGCGUGGCUCAGUGGAAAGAGCACGGGCUGGGCAGUCAGAGGUCUUGGGUACGAAUCCCGGCUCUGCCA
rfam:Ornithorhynchus anatinus chromosome 2, whole genome shotgun sequence.